rnacentral:rRNA from 1 species
UACGUAGGGGGCUAGCGUUGUCCGGAAUCAUUGGGCGUAAAGAGCGUGUAGGCGGCCAGGUAGGUCCGAUGUGAAAACUGGAGGCUCAACCUCCAGCUGUCAUUGGAAACCCCCUGGCUAGAGUCCGGAAGAGGAGAGUGGAAUUCCUGGUGUAGCGGUGAAAUGCGCAGAUAUCAGGAAGAACACCGAUGGCGAAGGCAGCUCUCUGGGACGGUACUGACGCUGAGACGCGAAAGCGUGGGGAGCGAACAGG